UACGUAGGGACCAAGCGUUGUUCGGAUUUACUGGGCGUAAAGGGCGCGUAGGCGGCAUGACAAGUCACUUGUGAAAUCUCCGGGCUUAACUCGGAACGGCCAAGUGAUACUGUCAAGCUAGAGUGCAGAAAGGGCAAUCGGAAUUCUUGGUGUAGCGGUGAAAUGCGUAGAUAUCUGGAGGAACACCGGUGGCGAAGGCGGCAUCCUGGACCGGUAUUGACGCUGAUGCGCGAAAGCCAGGGGAGCAAACGGG
rnacentral:rRNA from 1 species